ensembl:lncRNA
GAAAAAAGCAAUUACUGCCCUUGCGGUUUCAAGGCGGCCCCGUGCUGAACGAUGAAAGGAGAUAAGGAGGGGCGGUUUCAAGGCGCCCCCCACGGCGAACCCCGUUGGCCCCAGAGCAAAAGGAGAGUCAAGAGUGACUAAAUCAAAGGGAAUACGGUUAAAAACAACAACAAAAAAAGAAAAUGGAGGCGAGGACGGCAACAAGAACCGGAAAGCAACUAUUUCUCUACCGAGAGGGAGCUCUUCUUCUUUCUUUUAUGGUGGAAGAAAAGUUUUGUCUACAAAGGAGACAGCGGGAAGACGGCCGAAUAGUAUCUCCACGAGGGACAGUAGGGUCAAGAGGUCACCCACUUUCUGCAACGAGCCACACAGCAUUUCAAGAAACGCCACUGAUUCCUUUAACCGGACUUCUUUUGCAACACAGGACUUUGCGUGACUCCAUCACGGUGACGCACCAGCAGCAAUCUGACUGAAGAAACAAGACUUUCAGAAAUCUUUCAACUCUGAGGAAGAUGUUUUGAAUAGUUUUGAACAUACAGUCCUCAGGACGUCCUGGAGUCUGUUGCUCAAACCAUAAUGGAAGUCUCAUUUUGAAUGUAUUUGAUAAUAAUUACACAAAUCACGAGAUUGUGGAUCAUCUAAAACCCAUCCAACAAUAAUUCGAUUUGGAAGUGUGCUCAUAUGUGUUCAGAGAUUGAGCUUUAAACAAGUUAAACAAAAU